UAGGGAGAGGGCUGUGUAGCCCAGUGGGGGCCACCGCACUGCCGGCCCCGCCCGCAACCUCGGUGCCACCCCACCAGCGCGUGCGCAGCCAAUGGGCGCGGGGCACGCCUCCAACCCCACGGCGCCGGGACCUGCCACCGAGCUCCGCGCAGGACAGCCCCGCCCGUGAUUUGGUCUUCGCGCUCGCUGUGACCGUCCCUGGCCCAGUUAGGCUCUUGGCCAUGGCGUCUUCAGCGGCCGGCGGGGUGGUGAUUGUUGGCAGGUAAAGGGUUCCGAAGUGUCGUGCCAUUAACGAUGGAGCCUGGGGAGGCGCUGGGGACGCGCUAUCCCGCGUUUGGGCCCACGCGUAGCGUCCAUCCGGGUGGGCACCCUCCCUGCGAACGGUUGGGUGCGCCAACUUCCCGCCCUCCAAGGGGCUCUUGUUUCUCUUCACGGAGCUGACCAGGCUGGGAAAGUGUCUGGGUCAGCGGCGGUGUCAGGUAGAAGCACCCUGUAGAGUGUUAAUGUGAAACUUGGUGCUGAUUUACCUGAAGGGUCCGAAAGCUGACGGAGCAGGCUGCGAUUGCCGUGCAGUUCCUGGGAUCCACCAAAUGAUGCCGGGCCUAUCAGCUAGUCCAAUAGGCGCGCAAGGCAUUGAGCAUAAGGAAAAUAAAUUUUGGCAAUAAUCCUGCGAUAACUGUAUUGUUAUUCACAGUUUUUGAAUGAGAAAACGGAAAUGAAGCAAUUUGCCCAAGGUCAUAGUAAAAGAUGAGAGUAGCCCAGAAAGGAGGGUUCAGGUGCAUGCUAGUCAAGGCUGCCUGUAGGGUGCAUUCCUGUCUGCUAGGAGGUAAUUGGAAGCCUGAACAGCGAAUGCGCCUGAACACACCUGGCGCAUGGAUUGGCGUUUCUGAGGGUGAAGGCCUCAUCGGUUUAACAAAUAGAUUUCUGGUGUGUGCUCCCAUGCCCACUUUCUUUUCUUUUUUAAGUUAAGAAGGGGAGGCAUAUUAUAUAUAACUUUCCAUUGGCUAGCUUUCCUUAGCAAGUCUAUAAACGUGAAAAUACAAAUCACAUAUGUAAUCAAAUGUUCUAGUAGUUGUUUUAAAGUAAAAAGUAAUAGAUAAAAGUAGAUGCAUGCUUAUGAUCCUAGCUACUUGGGAGGUUGGGGUGAGGGGAGGAUUGCUUGAGCUUAGGAAUUCAAGGGUAGUUUGGGCAACAUAGCAAGACCCUAUCUCAAAAAAAAAAAAAAUUGAAAAAUUUUAUAGCACGUUUUAUUUAACAUAGUAUCUUUAAAGUGUUAUUAUUUAAACAAGUAUUAAAUUUUAUAAAUGAAAUAGUUUACUUUUUUAACAUUGUUUUCAAAAUCCAGCAUAUAUUUAAUACUUUCAGUGCAUAUGUUUUAGUCAGCUUUUUUUUUUUUUUUAAGCCACUGUGGCGGAAACGCCUAACAGGAACAAUUUUAGAAGAAGAAAAGUUUAUAUAUGGUUUUAGAGCUCUCAUCCAUAGACAACCAGCUCCAUUGCUCUAGCCCCACAUGAGGCAGAACAUCAUAGUGGAAAGGUAUAGUGGAGGAAAGCAGCUCAGAACAUGGUAAUCAGGAAGAAGAGAGAGCUCUCACUCACCAGAGACAAAAUUUAAAUCCCAAAGGCCUGCAUGCCCCAAUGACCAACCUACCCUACCUGCCUACAGUUACUACCCUGUUAAUCCCUAUUAAUGGAUUAAUGCACUGACAAGGUUAAAGCUUUCAUAACCCAAUCAUUUCACCUGUAAACUUUCUUCAUUGUCUCACACAUAAGCUUUGGGGCCACUUCAUACCUAAAAACCAUAACAGAUGGAGCUUAACAUUCCCUAUGACUAAUGGCAAUCACACUAGACAAGGUUGGUUUAAGCAAUGAUAGAAUCUUUAUUAAGAAAGCAGAUAUUUAAAAAACUUUCUUCUCCCCUCAUUUUGUGAAGACUCCUUUAAAAAGUACUUAUAGGGCAGGUAGCCUGAGUGGCAAAGUACUUGCCUAGCAGGCAUGAGGCCCAGGGUUCUGUUAGGGUAGCUUGCACAAAUAUCCAGGAGAGACAUACCUCUGAGUCAAGCAAAAGUUCCUUGACAGAGAAUAUCAGCAAGGCUGCCCUUCUGCAAGGUGCAGCAGUCUGCUGAAAAAACUUCUUAACUAUAUAGUCAUGCACAAUGAAGUAGUUAAAAAAAUAACCUGUCUGGUCCUGUGAUUGUUACUUGGUGUCUUUGUUGUGGUUUAGGUAGUUAGGGACUCUUUGGGGCUGAAUGAGAAGGUCAGGCUUGGGUGGGCUUUUCAAAAUGGAGUUACUUUGGCCUAAGGACCUAACAGCUUCUAUGCCUAGCACUGCAAAACAAAAAACUUCUAAUUAUUUUCAAAAUGCAGGUCAAGCUGUGAGAGGAGGUUUGCUUAAUGAGACCAAACUGUGGAAAGUCUUUGACCUUUAGCUGUUGUAGGCCAAUCAAGGGUCUCCACUUUUCUAACUUUGUGUAGCCUGAGGCUUACUUCAUCCCCUUGCCUGACACCUUCUGUUUCCUUUGAUACUUUCACCAUGUGGCUGACCUGGGAUGUAAGAGAACCUAGUACAGAGAGUGGUCUGGUGCCACGCAGGUGAAGGCUUUUACAGCUUGAGAUGAGGUGGGCCAUUUUGUGGGGUUGCAUUGUUUUCUUAAAUGAAAAAGUGGAAAGAAAGAUACUUUUAUUUUAGAAAAUAUCCUUAUGGAUUACAUCAUACAUAUAUGCAUAAUACAAAAAUGCUAAAUAUAUAACUCAAUGAAUUAUCACAGAGUGAAUAUACUGCUGAAACCCCCAUGGUGAAAAUGUUCUUCAGUCUGAAGUUAGACUCUGUUAAGGAUUUCUUUUGUGGUUAAAUAAUUUAUGAUAAUAGUGACAGGAAAGAAAAGUCUUUAAAGGUGAUUACUGGUCAGUUGGAAACAAGCAUGAAUGUUCAUUGGGCUAUAGACAUCCCUUCGUAUCCAUGGGAGAUUGUUCCAAGGUUCCUGAGGAUGACGAUACCAAAUCUGCUCAUGUUCAAGUCCUUUAUAUAAAAUAGUGUUGGAUUUACAUAGAACCUAUACAACCUUCCUGUACAGAUAACUUAUAAUACUUGAUACAAUAUAAAUGCUAUGUAAAUAGUUGUUAUUGAUUGAGGACACAACUCAAUCAUAGAGUAUUUGUCUAACAUGCUCAGAGCUUCAGGUUAGAUCCCCAGCACCCUAAGAAAAGAAUAAAAAGUUGUUGUAUUGUUUAGAAAAUAACAGUAAGAAAAAAAAGUCUGUACAUGUUCAAUAUUGAUGCAAUUUUUUCCCUGAAUAUUUCAAUCCAUAGGUAUGGAUGGCUGACUGUAUAUUCUUGCUGUCCAAGUUGGUAGCCACUAUCACAUUUUGAUAGUGAGUACUUGAACUUGUCUAGCUUUAGUACUGCUGAUUUCCUGAGUUUUAACAUUUAUUUGACUUUAAUUAAUUCUAAUUUAAAUAGCUACAUGUGGCUAGAGUAUAGUGUAUUUAUCAGUACAUGUCUAGAAUCCUGAGAGUGUCACUAAGAAUUCACAUGUAUAUAAUAUGCACAUUUUAUUUCAUAUUAUAGAAGAAUAUGGAGUAAAUGAGAUAUAAUAUCCUAUUCCUUUAUCCAGAGCUCCAGUGAAAGUGAUUUUAAUUGUGUGUGCAACAAAUGGCUUCACAUAAGAUACUUUGUAAUAAGAUGGUGACCUUCUCUGUGACCCCUUUAAUGUACUUGAGGCUUAGCUCAAGUGAGUAUUGUGUGAGAGCUUUGAAGCUUGGCCAGCACUUCUGUGGCAUUAGAGGAUUUUCAAGUCUAUACAAGGCAUGCCAGGGUCUUCCUUUCACCAGUUUGGGCCAGUUCUAACAGAAGCUGUUAGUCUCUGCUAUGAGACAUCUCCUAUGUUCACAGUGGCCACUGUAUAGAUGGGAGAUGGAGUGGGGAGAAUACUUCUGGAUCCUACCCUAAGACUGCUCUUGAAGGCUCCCUGCCACCAAACUGCUUUCAGGUUUGAGACAAGCUUGCCCUCCCCUCUCUGCUCUCAUGUGUUCCAUCUGUUGGAGUGCUAAUAACUUAGUCUGCUACUGUUUCAUGGAUGCUGGCUUAGGACAUCAGUCUUCCGGAUCAGUGACAAAGGACUUCACUAAUCAUGGUGUAGCAGGUGGCAUGAGUAUCAUAUAGACAUAAUUUAUUGUGCUUUGCUUUAUUGUUCUUCACAGAUAUUGUUUUAAGCAAUAAAAUAUCUUUUAAUUAAGGGAUAUACAUUGGGUUUUUUUUUUUUUUUUAAGACACAAUGUAAGACUGCAGUAAACACAACCUCUUUUUUGUGUCUGGUGGUGGGGAUUUAACCAAGGGACUUGAGCAUUUUAGGCAAGUGCUCUACCACUGAGCCACAUCUUCCUAAACAUAACUUUGAAAUGGGAAAUUCAUGUGACUUGCUUUAUUGUGAAAUUAGCUUAUUUGUGGUGGUCUGGAACUGAACCUAUAAUAUCUCUGAAGUAUGCCUAUAUUUUCAUUGGUUUCCCUUCUCUUAGAGUCACAUAGGGGUGCAUGAAGGGCCUGUGUGGAUUUCAAGAGAAUACUGAGUUUAGGGACACCUACAUUUUUAUAGUAAGCAAUAAACGAUUCUGCUCUUUGUCCUCUCUCAAGGUUUCUUGCUGCAUACAUAACUCUAAGAAGUAGUCCUGGUGAAGAAUGGCCAGAGCCUUGUAGUCUUAGCAUACCCAGCAAGACAUGUAAGAGCUCAUGGAAGAAGUCUUCCAAUACAGAAUCCUUGGCUCUGUCUACACAUCCUCUUGACACCUCUGAAAUGGAGGAUAUAUUGCUGCUACUGCAUUUAUUAGAUUAGGACCUGAUGCCUGCUUCACAUUUUCAGGAGCUUUCAAUUUAGAGAAACCCUAGAGAACUUUUUUGAUUUGUCUUUGAAUUGUCUGAGGAGUACUCAGGACAGCUUGUGGAUAAAAUGCAACUUGAUUUUGAUAUUAUAAGUAGAAUUUGAAAAUUUCAGGAUUGGGGGCUGGGGAUGUGGCUCAAGUGGUAGCGCGCUCGCCUGGCAUGUGUGCGGCCCCGGUUCGAUCCUCAGCACCACAUACAAAUAAAGAUGUUGUGUCCGCCGAAAACUGAAAAAUGAAUAUUAAAAAUUAAAAAAAAUAAAGUUAAAAAAAAAGAAAAUUUCAGGAUUGGAAGAGAGAUGGGGCCCAAUCCACACAUCCAAUGAACACUUGAUGUCAUUGUCUCUGCCCGUGAUUAUCCUGCUUCUGUUUGGGUACCUUUAGUUUCAAGGAUUUUUCUGUCUCAAUGUUUGAUUACGGGGACUGCCUUUUCCUGGCCAACAGCAAGCAUCAGUAUAAGACUCAAGCAAUGGAAAUAGGUGCAGUAACCCCAAAUCAGCCUUGUGCUUCCUCAAGCUUAUCAGUUUCCCUUACCCAGAGGAUCAGACCCUUCAACAUGCAAAUAUAUAGUUUUUCUUCUAAAUUGAUCCCAUUUCUCCCCCUGGUUACCACCACAUUUUCUGUCUAAACUUAGUAAAAUGAUCUGUAUUCUGUCUCCAGUUUCUUUCUUCCCAUUAUCUAUCUUUUGACUUUGUAUUAUGGAAAAAUUUCAAACCAUAUUUAAGUUGAGAGAAUAAUAUGGUGAACCCUUAUGUACCUGUACCCUGCCCCCAACAUCAACAGUUACUAACACAGAGGUAAUCUAGUUUCUUUUAUACUCUCCUCUUUGGAGUAUUUUGAACAAAUUCCAGACAUAUCAUUUCAUCUAUGACUAUAUCAGCAUGUAUAUCUAAAGGAUACAGACUCUUUUACAAAUACAUAAUAGCAAUGCUAUCAUCAUAGGCAAAAUAUUAACAGAAUUCCUUAACAUCUUUAAGCAUUUCCUCUGCAUUCAGAAUUUCCCUUAUUAUCUUUUAACACCUAGUUUGAUUGAUUCAGAUGCCAAAUAAGGCCCACAUGUUAUAUUUGAUGCUAUUGUUUAUUGAUGCUUCCAAGCUAUAGAUUUCUCAGCCCUUUUUUAAAUAUUUAUUUUUUAGUUAUAGCUGGACAAAAUUUCUUUAUUUUUAUGUGGUGCUGAGGUUUGAACCCAGUGCCUCACGCAUGCUAGACGAGCAUGCUAGGCGAGUGCUCUACCUCUGAGCCACAACCACAGCCCCAUCUCAUCCCUCUUUUUUAAAAACAAAUUUAUUGAAGUUUAUUUGUUGAAGAACAUGAAUCAUUUGUCCUGUAUAAUCUUCCAUGUAGGAUGUGAAAAGUAAAAGAAUUGAGGAUGAUGCUAAGUUAUUUUUGGAGAGCAAGAAAGGAUGAAGGUGUCAUUAAUUCUAUAGGAAAAGAUUUUAAGAGUGAUAAUCAGGAGUUCAAUAUAGGGUAUUUUAAUUGUGAGAUGUUUAACAAAUAGAUCAAGCAAAACAACAGAGUAAAGUCUUUAGUUCAGGGCCAACGUCUGGGCUGGAACAAGAAUGUGGGGUAUUUAGUAGUGCAAGACGUGAGAUCUCUAAGAAACAGAGACUUAGGACACUCCAACUUUAAUGGGGAAAGAUAACCCAGUGAGAUUUUGUUGAAUGUGUCCCUAGAGUGUUAUUUACCAUGUUCCUUUAUCUUUCAUUCUUGAGACUGGAGUUAGAUCCAGGGGUUCAUUUUAUCUUACACCCACCUAAGGCAGGCUUUCCUUGCCAUCAGGUGACAAAAAGUUCUCUUAUCAUGGUUCCCCACUCCCAUUCAUCCUGCUAAACCCAAUAGCCAAUUCUCAGUCCAAAUUCUACUUGAUUACUGGGUUUUGACCCAGAUGGACAAUCUCUUCUCCUUGAGGCUCUCUUCACUUCCUAACCCUCUCAUCUGGUUAUCUGUCCCCAUUAAGUUGGAAUGUCCUAAGUCUCCAUUCCUUAGAGAUCUCACAUAUCACACAUGACUAAAUACCCCACAUUCAUGUUCCAGCCCAGAUACUGGCCCUGAACUGAGGACUUUAUCCAGUUGUUUUGCUUGAUCUAUUUGUUAGACAUCUCACAAUUAAAACACCCUAUAUUGAACUCCUGAAUGUCUCCUAAAAUCUUCUCCUAUAGAAUUAAUGACAUCUUCAUCCUUUCUUGCUCUCCAAAAAUAACUUGGCAUCAUCCUCAAUUCUUUCACUUUUCAUACCCUACAUGGAACCCACUAGCAAUUCUCUUUGGCUAUACCUUGAAUAUAUUAUAUAUUCAAAACUCAGCUAACCACCAAUCAUCCCUUCUGCUUCUAUCUUCUUCCAACCUACCGUCAUAUCCUGCAGCAAGCUCUGGACUCUGAACUGGUCUUUUUAUUUCCAUCUUUGCCUUUCUUCAGUACAUAUGCUGCUUGGCUUACAAUGGGGUCACAAUCCAAUGAACCAUCAUAAGGUGAAAAUAUCAGAAGUGUAAAAUGCACUUACUACUUCCAGCCUACUAAACCUCAUAACUUAGCAGCACAGCACUGUAGACUGUUGGUUGUUUCCCCCUUGUGAUCACGGGACUGAUUGGUAAUUGCUGCCACCCAACAUCAUGAAAGAGGUUUGGACUUUAUAGCACUAGCCUGGGAAGAGAUCCAAAUUCAGACUUCCAAGUUUGAUUUCAACUGAAUGCCUUUUGCUUUUGUACCAUCACAAAGUCAAGCCAUCAUAAGUUAGGCACUAUGUAUUUUUAAGAAAACAUCUAGAAAGUUCCUUUUAAAACUUAAAUCAAUUCAUGUCUUUCAUAUAAAACAUUCUGUUAGAUACUCAUCUCAUACAUAUGAGUAAAUAUCUAAAUCCCUCUGUGGUCUCUGAGACACUAUGUAUGUAACCAGUUCACCUUCCCUUCCAACCUUUGGACUUCAUUCCUUACCCACCCUCUCCUUCCACCUCCACUGCAGCUGCCCAUCAGACUUACAGUCAUUCUCUCCCUGCCAAGGACACUUUUCUUACAGAUAUACUCAUGGCUUGGCCCUUUACCUUCUUCAACUCUGCUAAAAUAUUACCUUGCCAGUGAGUCAUUCCCUGGUAGUGCUUAUAAAAUUUCUCUGCCUUCCAGUUUCUACUUCCUACUUUUAGUCCCUCUUGUCAUUUUCUUUUUUUUUCCUUAGAACUUUUACUUAUUUACAAUAAACUAGGCUUAUAGCCCACUCUAAGCUCCUGGCAUCAGGCUAUAGAAUAGUGCCUGACACAUAGUAGGCACUCUUUACCUACCUCCGGAGUAAAUCACUGUUGCCUUCAUCUUCAUUCCAUGGGAAGAGCUUGCUGACCAUUAUCUAGUGUUUGUCAUUAAGGCAUGUCAGCGUUUUUGUUGUCAACAACUAACAUUUAUCAAGCCGUACAAUGUGCCAGGAAUACAAAGGUGAGCAAGAUAGUUCCCAGUGCAUAGAGCUUACCUUAUUGAACGAACAAAAAACAAGUUCAUAUUGUGGACAAGUGUUGCUUUGCCCCCACUUCCCUGCACAAAACUUACUGUGGUUUUUUCUCAUGCACUUAGAAAUCCUUUAUGAAAUAUCUAACAGUUCACAACAAAAAAGAGGAGUGUUCAAUAUCCCAGACCUGGAGAUGGAAGUGAGAUCUUGCACUGGUCAUUUUCUCCCUGUAUCUUCAUUCAGUCCUACAUAUGCCUAUACAUGUCCUGCUUCAUCCAGCUUCCCUACAUUAAUAUGGUACAAUGUGUUACAAUUAACGAACUAUUACAUUGUCACCCACUAAUAGUGUUUAUUAAUAGUUAAUUAAAAGUAAUAUCCUUUGAAAUUCUGAUCUCCAUAGUUUUUACCUGAUGUCCUUUUUCUGUCCAGGAUGCCAAAUCACAUUUACAGUUUUCUCUCUAUAUCCUUGAGUUCCACAUCUGUUGAUUUAACCAACCAUGGAUUGAUAAUAUUUGCAAAAAAAAAAUUGUGCCUACACUGGACAGUAACAAUAACAUUCCUUGUCAUUGUUUUCUAAACAAUAUAGUAUAACAACUAUUUACAUAGCAUUCACAUUGUGUUAAGUAUUAUAAGUCAUCUAGAGAUGAUUCCUGAAUAUGCACAUAGAUUAUAUGCAAAUACUAUUCCAUUUUUUGUAAGGAAUUUGAGCAUUCUCUGAGCUGGCAGAAGGGGGUCCUAGAACCUCUCUCUCAUUCAUACCAAGUGACUGCUGUACUUGUCAUUUCUCUUUUGACUCCUCUGUGACAUUUCCUUGGACUUUCCUUGCUUUUGAUGACCUUGACAGUUUUGAGGAAUAUUAGUCAUGUAGUUGUCGAAUGUCCCUCUGUUGAGAUUUGCCUAAUGUUCUUCUCAUGACUAAGCUGGGGUUGUGGUAGGAAGACCACAGAAGUAAAUUUCUAUUCUCAUCACAUAUCAAGGUAUCACGACAUACUUUCAUUAUGAUUCAUUGCUGUUGAUAUUAACCUUGACCACCUGGCUGAGCUAGUGGUUCAGUUUCCUCCACGGCUAAGUUAUUCUUUUGUUUCCUCUUUCCACACUGUACUCUUGGGAAAGAAGUUGCUUUGCAUAGGGUGGAAAAUGAUGUUCCAUUUCUCUGAGGACAGUGUAGCUAAAUAAAUUAUUUGGAAUUCUUCUGCAAGGGAAAUGUGACUUUUCCAACAUUUAUUUAUUUAUUCAAACAUUUAUUUUUAUCAGUAUGAACUUUUGAAUAUGUAUUCUAUAGUUUGUAUUAUAAUAAAAAAAACUGGCUCAAUUUGUUCCAGUUUUAGCCAUUGGGCGCUCUUCUAGUGGUUUCUUGUAUCCCUUUGAUGUAUCUUAUCAAUGUAGAUUUUUUUGUUUUUGUUUUUUAACAUUUACUUGCUGGUACUACAGAUUGCUCCAGGCUUAUCUUAUAUGGCUCAGCUCUAGAAUUUGUCAUUUCUCCAAGGAGUACUGCUUUCUUUUAUGGGAGAAUAGUAUUAGAAAUCAAGAAUUGGACUCUAGAUGUGUUCUGUACAUUUGUCUUUAACCCUUUAAACAAUCCCAUAUGUGCUCUUUAUAAUUCUUUUGUCUUUUUAUUUUCCAAUAAGUCUGAAGCAGUGGGUGAAGAGUAGGGGUUAAGUGUAAGGACUCAAGAGACCUCUUGGCUUCAUCUCUUAGCUCCAGCAUGGAUAGCCUGUGUGGAAGUAAUUCUUCUGUGCCUCAGAGGAAAUAAUGAUAGUACAUACAUUGUAAGGUGUUAUAAAGACUAAGAGAGGUAAGACCUGAGUUUUUAAUGGUGCCAGCACCUAAUCCAUGCUCAUGCUGUUGUGGUAGCAGUUAAUUAUUUGAAGAGGACAGCAAAUACACUCAAAAAUCUUUCUAUAUUUAUGGGAGAUUGAUUCUAGGACCCCCAUGGUAACAAAAUCUGCAGAUGUUCAAGUUGUUUUUAUACAAUGGUAUAAUACUUACAUAAAGACUCAAUGAAUUUAAAUGCCUAGUAAAAUGUAAUGUAACUUGUGGUUGUACUGCAUUGUUUAGAGAAUAAUGAGAAGAAAAAUGUCUACACAUGUUUAGUACAGAUGUAGUUUUCUUUUUUUUUUUUCCCGUAAGUAUUUUUAAUCCAUGGUUGGUUGAAUCCUCAGAUGUAGAACCCAGGGAUACAAGGGCUGGCUGUACUAUCUCUCUUGUUCAAGUUAGGUGACUUGCCUAAGACAGUGGUCAAAUGGGGGUUCAACUAAGGACCUUUUGCCUCAUGUCACCCUGCUACCUCCCGACUGUAAUUUUUUUGUUUCAGUGCACGAGCACAUGAUGAAUACUCCACAUACCGCCACAUUCCCUGUGGAAUACUGAUCUUGGCACUUGUGUUGGGGACUCAGGAGUUCCUGGGUAGAAACAGAUAACAUUUUAAACAAAUACAGUUAUCAAGAUGUGCACUUUAAAGAGAUUUAUUAAAUAUUGUAGGAAUGGGAUACUGUAUAAUUUUGAAAAGUUUCUUCUGGAUUAAGAAUGAAAAGACGUUCAGUUAUUAAAUUAAUUUGAAUCAUUUCUUAAUUUUCUCUCCCUGUAGUGGACUCAUUGGACGAAGCUGGGCUAUGUUGUUUGCCAGUGGAGGCUUCAAGGUGAAACUCUAUGAUAUUGAGCAAGAACAGAUAACAAAUGCCCUGGAAAACAUCAGGUAGGCUAGCUGACGCCUUCUGGGAGGAGUUGGAAUGGUCCUGUUCCUUUUAGUUGGUCUUGUUUAUCAGAUUCUCAAGGCUAUAAAUAUCUGUGAUUGUACAUUUUCAUUUGAUACAGCUCUUGGAGUGCCUCUGAACCAAUAGAGGUCAGGUGUAAGGUGGCUAGAAUGUGAAUUUAGACUGGAAAGGAGACUUCCAUUGUUAGGAAAGGCCCAUUCAGAUUGAAAAGAUUUAAGAGGGGGGAAAAGAGGAGCUGAAUGUAAAUGUCAGGACUUAAUCCCAAUUGAGUUGGGGACUUCCUUAUUAUGUCACACAGGGGUAGAGAGCUGGGACUUUUUCUUGUUCCCUCUGUAGGAUAAGCCAGUGUCCAGCAGGUGAUAAUCAGAGCUUCAUGGGCAUUACCUUUUAGGAACAGAGGUUCUAAGCAUUGUUUUGACCUAUUGAUCUAAUAAUGGUGGUAGGCCCCAGAUGAAAACAUCCUGAAUUUUAAUUAGGGUUUAGAACUCAUGUGAGAGGACAGAACUGUAGUCACUCUUGUGGGUGUUAGUAAUUGUGACAACUGUACUAGUUAAAGGCAUGAGAGUGGAUGAACUUACCAAAAACUGAGGACUGAGGUUGAGGAGUGGAAGUCACAGUGGGCAGAAGAAGUAUAGGAACCAAAGACAAAGGCCAAGAAUAAGGGAGGUCAAAGAUAUAGGAACCAAACUAAUGCCCUGGUCUGUCUGACUUCAAAGACAUGUUAAGCAUCUUCAACAUCCAUUUAUACCAUAUGCUUUAUAGAGAUUCUUCAAACAAUACUUUUAAUAUAAUAUUUGGCACAUGCAAAAGAAUAGAUCAUGUAUAUAAGUUUAGGAAGAAGAAUAAUGAAAUAAUUAUCCAUGACCCUCCACCCAACUUAAAAUUUAGAACAUUACCAAUACUUGUAUGUACCUUUUGGAUCUCAUCCCCCUGACCUCCUAUCAGAGGUAAAAAAUAUUAUUUAUUUGUAUUUACCAUUUUCGUUGUCCUAAAAACACUUAUAUACAUGUCCCUCAAUAACAUACUGUUUAGUUUUGCUUUCUUUUGUGUUUUAUAUGAAUAUUGCUGAGAUCCACCCAAGUUUUUGCUUAUAGCUCUAGUGCAUGUAUUUUUACUGCUAUACCAUAUUCUGUUGUGUGAAUUUUCUAUAAAUUAUUUAUCUGUUAUCCUCUUGGAAUAUUAUAGCUUUUCCCAGUUUAAGCUAUUGUAAAUAAUGUUAACUAUUAAUAUUCUUAUAUUUUUGUAUAUUCUAUGUUUCUUAUUAUUUUUCUUGUAUAUUCUGUGUUUCCUAAUGUAUAAGUGCAGGAGUUUCUAUAAGUACAUACCUAGCAGGGAGACCACUGGGUCUGUUUUACCUGAAGGAGUUCUGAUAGCCUAGAUAUUGGACCAUCUCUUUCUACCUUCAUUUUUUUAAAUGUUAUAGUAGUAUCUUUAUUGACUUGGAAAGACAUUUAUGCUGUAUCUUUUUUUGGGGGGGGGAUAUGAAUUCUUAUUUUUCCACUUGUACAGAUUGCAGUAUCACAUUGGUUUUACAGCCACAUUUAUACAUACAGCCAUACUAGUGUUUACCUUCAUUUCUAAAAACUUUUAUUUCACGUUUUCUCUCUCCCUAUGUUUUCAGAAUACAUUCUGGAUAUGUUCUUUAGAUUUUUCUUCAUUUCAUCAAUUCUCUUUAUAGUUGUGUUUAAUCUGUUGUUUAGACCAUCUACUGAGUUUAUUUGAAUAAUUUAGUUUUUCAUUUUUAAAGUUUGCUUUGCCUCUUCUGUAGAUAUAUCAGUCUCAAAUGGCUUGCUUAUUUUUUGUGGUUCCAUUUCUCAAAUCAUCAACUAUUUAAUACAUAAUUGCUUUGUACAAUGUAUCUGAUAAUUCCAGUUCCUGAGAGUGUCUUAGAUUCAUCAGAAUCAGAUCCUAAGAUGCAGAUUCCUGGGCAAGUGAUUUAUUAAGGUGGAGCUCCCAGGAUAAAGCAGUAAGGGAGGAGUGAAGAUAAGAUAAAGAAGAGAUAGAAACCAAUUAAGGUUGUGAUUUCAGAAGUCUGGGGCUCAACACAAUCCCCUGGGAGAUCUAGAGUGUGGAGUGAACUGUAAAGUUUGUCCUCACUCAAGGCAAGGGAGCUGGACUGUCAUAGUCCUGACAAUGGUCAGACACUGACAAUGGUCCUUCCUGGAUGAAUAUAAACUCCCAGGCAUUUCUAGUCCUUUGAUCUGGAACCAGGGAGUUCUCUAAGGAAGGCUGUUAGGUUUGAACCUUUAGCAACAAAGAACUCCAAAGCUGGAGAUAGACACCCAGUGUUCAUGAGAGGAAUCCAAAGAGUUCUGAAUGGAGCACCAAUGGCCUUCACUAUGGCAAUUCACUGCUUUUAAAUAAGUUUUCUUACUCACUUAUUCAUGCUUUCAUUCUUUAAAAAUACUGGUUGAUCACCUACUAUGUGUGUGACACAUUUAAGUACUGGGGAUUAAACAAUAAGCAAAAUAGACUGAGAUCUCAUUGACCUAUAAGAACUCACAUUCAGUGCGGGGGAAGACAGGGAAAAGAAGUAGAAAAUUCUCUGUGCUCCGUAAAUUCAUCUCCCGACACUUGUGGAGUAUGAUCUGUGGGUUUAGACAAAUGUAUACUGACAUGUAUCCAUGACUGUAGUAUCAUAAAGAAUAAUUUUACUGCCCUAAAUGUCCUCUGUGCUCUAUUCUUCCCUUGCUCCCCUAAUUCCUUGGCAACCACUAAUCCUUUUAGGCUCCAUAGUUUGACAUUUUUCCAGAAUGUCAUAUAGUUGGAAUCAUACAGUGUGCGGUCCUUUCAGAUUGAUCCUAUGACUUAGUAAUAUGCAUUUAAGUUUCCUCCUUAUCUUUUCAUGGCUUGAAUAUAAUUUAUUUAUUUUAGUGCUGAAUAAUAUUGCAUUGCCUGGGCAUGCUACAGUUUUUCUGUUUAUCUUCAGAAGAACAUCUUGGUACUUUCAAGUUUGGGCAAUUAUGAAUAAAGCUGCUGGAAAUAUUCAUGUGCAGAUUUUUUUGUUUGGGCAUUUUUGUCAGUUCCUUUGAGUAAACACUAAGGAUUAUAGUUGCUGGAUUGAAUGUAAGAAUAUAUUUAGUUUUGUAUGAACCAUUAUACUACCUUUCAAAGCGCCUAUACCAUUUUGCAUUCCCAUCAACAAUGAAUGAGAGUUCCUGUUGCUUUGCACUCUUGCCAGCAUUUGGUGUUGCCAUUGUUCUGAAUUUUAGUCAGUCUACUACGUGUUACGGUGGUGUCUUAAUUUGUUGAUAACAUACAAUGUGGAUCAUCUUUUCAUAUGCUUUAUUUGCCCUCUAUGUUUCUUCUUUGAGAUUGUGUGUGUGUGUGUGUGUGUGUGUGUGUGUGUUGAAGACUGAACCUAGGGCCUCACAGCAUGCUAGACAUAUGCUCAACCACGGAAACCCCAUUUUCAAGUUCUUUUAUUUUUUUUAAUUAAAAAAUAUUUUUGGCUCAAGGGAGGACCUUGACAAUUUCUUUUAUUUGCUGUGACUCCUGAUGCAUAACAAUUAUUCCUAUAUGGGAUUAAGUGAUUUUGUAGAAACCAUUUCAGUGUUCCUGUUCUGCUAAAGAAGGCUUCAGAGUUUUUCAAUACAUUUUAAGCCACAAUAAAAACAGGUGAAAGCCAUAUAAUCCUGUUGUAAUUUAGAAGAAAACACCUCUUAAGACACCAUUCACUAAAUAUAAACAAGAAACUGAGACAAAAGGAUUUUCUCAGGUUGAGUCAGUGUUUUUAUAAAGCAUCAAGAUUGGAAACAUGGUAGCAAAGAGCUUAGUAUUUGGUUUAAUUGAGAUUACUUAAGGAGCAAUAGGAAGUAAUUUAUCGAUAGUUAAAAUAUAAUUGUAAAGAGCUUUAAAGGAACUUAUGGUAUUGCUAAAUAAGUAAAGUCAUAUCUGUAGGCUUCCCUUGGACUGCUUGCCACACUGAUACCAAAAUGUGCAGAUGCUCAAGUCCCUCAUAUAAAAAUAAAAAUGUGCAUAGAACCUAUGCACAUCCUCCCAUAGACUUUAAAAUCAUCUCUAGAUUACUUAGGAUACCUAAUACAAUAUCAAUGCUAUGUACACAGUUGUUAUACUGUAUUAUUUAGGGAAAUUUAUACCAUGACAAGGAAAAGUUCUGUAUGUGUUCAGUGACAGGCAAAAAAAAUUUUUUUUCCAGUUACUUUCCAUCUGCAGUUGAUCGAGUUCAAGGUUGCAGAAUCCACAGGCCGGGAGGAACAACUAGGCUUUGUUAAAUUCGUCUUUGAAUUUUGCAUUAAGUAUAUAGGAACUUUAUAAGCUCCCAUUUAGAAAUGGUUAGUUGGUGAAACUGCUUGUGCCUUGUAUACUUGGGUGAAAACCCUGGCUUUUCUGUAGGCCUGGACUUGGUACUGGUUUUCUGGUGAUGCUGUUUGUGGUCGAUGGGUCUGAAGCUGAGCAACAAUAGAUUAAGCCCAGUGUUGGAGAGAGGGUAACCUAGGGAAGAGGAGACCAGGAGUCUCUCGUUAAGUCAGGCUUUAAGCAACCCCAUGUGGCCUCCAGGCCAAGACUUGGUAAGCUUUUUUUUAGAAAGCAGGUAGUAAACCUGUUAGGCUUGGGGGGAGGGUCAUAUGGUCUGUACCUCAACUUCUGAUUGUUGAGUAAAAGCACUCAGAGAUAAUCUCUAAACAAAUAGGUCUGGCUAUAUUCAAAUAGAACUUUAUGGGUUAAUAUUGAACUUAGGAAUUCAUUUACUUUUCAUGUGUCACAAAAUAUUAUUAUUGUUUUGUUUUUCUUUUAAGAAUUUAAAAAUGUAAAAACCACCCUCUUUUUAUAGGCCGUAGGAAAACAGGUGGAGAACCAGACUUUUCUUGCAGGCUAAUAGGCUUUUCAAUUCUGUUAUCAUUUCAUCUUAUGCUUUGUCAGUUCGGUUUUAACUCACUUGUAACUAAGGGAAAGCCAAAGGUUCCUAAUUGAAAAGUCCUUUGUUCUAUUUCUUGGUAUAUUUGUAUUUUAGGCUUUAUUUUUUAGGUGUAUCAUUAAAGGUUUUUGUUAUUUUUAAAGACCUUUCAUGUAUCACAGAGUACAUGAUAGGUUGUGGGAAAGUUUUUUGUUUGUUUGUUUGUUUUUCCCCCUUUUUUCAGAGCUGAGGAUGGAACCCAGGGCCUCAUACUUGCUAGGUAAGUGGUAUACCACUGAGCUAUAUACCCAAACCCCUGUUUUGCUUUUAAAACCUGAUUAAAGGCUUAUAUAUUAUUCUACUACUUUGCUUAGUUAAGAACUGUUUCUUAAUAUUUCUAGUGUUCAAUUAGAGCAAACUUUUAGACAAAUCUGUAAAAUAUUUAAACCAGAAAAACCAAAACAAUUAUUACUAUAUCAGCCAUGUUGUAGAAGGAGCAAAAGUACUGAAUUCCUGUGCAUAUAUAACUCUUUCCUCAAGAAAAGGGCCUUAUUUAUUUCUUUUUUAUAACUCACACACAUUUGAGUUAAAUUGGCUUAAAUAUGUAGAACUGGUUGUACUUCUUUGGCAGGAGGUAGGGAUCUUAUGUUAUCUUGUGACCCACUACCUUUCUCCUCAAAUUAUAGUUAGCAAAUACCUUCAGGGAAAUCAGAUUGAGCUGUAUUGUAUUGCACCCUUAGAGAAUACUGAAUUUUCAGUCUGACUUUUAAGCAAAACUACCUGCUUUCCUCUUUGAAUCACAUGAUUAUCAAAUGAGCCAUUUCUGUAUGGAGAGAUCAAGUUGAGAAGACAGAGACCAAACCACAGUUUUGUGAAUAUUUUGGUCAAUGUGACAAGUUCUGUAGUUCAGAAACAUUUUUUUUCAGACACAAAAUAUUUUGUGUCUGAAAAAAAAAAGCAUUGACUGCUUUUCUCAGUAAACAAACUGUGUCAUCCUGCAGGUUACUAAUAACUAUGAGUCAAUAAUAACAUUAUGUCUGUGGUCUUGGAUAUUAAAGAACUGAAGGUUAAAAUGUCUCUGACUACAUGUUGGGCCAAAAGAACAUAAGGCGAACCAAAUUUAUCCUUUUGUCAAGCAGUAUAGUAGUCCCCCCUUAUCUGUGGGGGUAUAUCCCAAGACCCCUAGUGGAUGUGAGAUUAACAAUAACUAUUAGUAAAAUAGAAUAAACAUAACAAUAUACUGUAAUAAAAAUUGGGUGAAUGUGGUUUCCCUUGAAGGAGUGAAGAUGAGUAUUAAUAUUUUGGAUCACUGUUGACUCUGGGUAAUUGUAACCACAGAAAGCAGAUCUUCAGAUAAGGGAGGACAACUGUAUAAAUGAUGUAUCCUCAGAGGUUGAACUGACUGGAAAAAAAGUUUGUGGCCAAUGGACAUCUUUCCUGACACCCUGUUUUGUGGUCUCUGUCCACUACUAUAGGUGGUGGUGCCAUUAGGACAGAGCCCGUGCAUUCUAUUCUCAGUGCUCUUGGUAGGAGGUAUUGGAUGUCACAAGAUUUGUGUAUUAGCUAUUAUGAAUGCAAAAGCAAUGUGCACAUUUAUGGUUGCCAUAGCCUGGGAUAUUAUAGGUUCUAGCCCAAUAAUUGUUUUAACUGAAUUAUGGUGACAUUUUGUAAAGUCUCAAAAGGUAAUUCUCCUGGCCAUCUGUCCCACCCUUGUGGUUUGGUUCACUUCUCGUAUUCUGAUUCUUAACAUUUUAUAGCAGAGAAUAUCAUGUAGUUGAAAUUUCACUACUUCUAGAAAAUCCUAUGGAUGUUAGACCUAUUAAAAAUGAAUCUUCUUAACUAGAAAUGAUACCUCUUGAUUCUGAACUUAUAAAAAUGAAUUUAACUUAGGGAAGUUGAUUUUUUUUAAAUAUUAAGAUGUUAGAAGAGUAGGGAAAUUAUUGUCACAAUUCGUACCAUGCCAAGGGAUCUCAGUGAAUUAAAAAAGCUAAGAAGCUGUCAUCCAAGACUAAUCUUCCCCUAAUAGGAUAGCUCAAUGAGAAACUUAAAACUUGGCAUGUUUACAUCUCUCACUGGAAGGGUAUCUUGACCGUGGAAAACCGUAUUAGCAGAUGCUUCACUACUUGGUCUUUAUUUUCCAUUGUGUGCCCAGUACUUGGCACAUAUUAAGUCUCAAGAAAGAAUUUCAGAGGAUAAAAGAAGAAUUUUAGGGAGAAAAACAGGAAUCAGGUAAACAAAGACCUAAUAUGACAGAGUGUUUUACUUCUUAUGGUUUGGAGAGGGUCUCAUGUCCACGUAGCAGAUGGGCCAUAUGCUCUCAAGGGACCAGGAUACCCUGGCAGAGGCCAUGUGAACAUCUCAGUGACCAACUACCCCCACUCCAGGGAGGAACAGCUGCCUUAUCUGACUGAGUCCCAAUCUGUAGUUGCUGUCUUUGGGAACCUCUACUCUUCUAUCCCAGUUUCUCUCCUGCAGUCACUCCAGUGUCUGUAGAUGGCAGCUGUGGUACUUAGAUCUGUUUUAAAAUGACUCAGCUUUUUAAGUUGGGGAGUUAAUAUACGACUAGAAUGAUCUCUGAAACAGGGUGGCUGCCCUGUACUCUGCUGCUUAAGUAACUGAACUUGUUCAUGAACUCAGGCAUUGCCAAUGCCUGGAUCUUUUGUUUUUAAUUUGCCGUUCUUUGCUCUGUCCUGAUCUAAACUUUAUUUUGAACUCUGUUUGAAUCUGGCUGGAUUCUUCUGGAUUAGUCUCUUCUCUUCUCUUGAUUUGAAACUUACUUUUAUUUUUCUCACAUACCUUGGGCUAGCAUAACUGGAAUGGUGGAUCACAAAAUGACCACAAAUGGCUCCCCUCUCUGUCUGCCAACCCCCUUGCAAUGUGGUUUUUCUUCUCUUACCCCCAACUCCAACCUGGCUAUGGGCUUGCAUUGGCCAAGGGGACAUUAGGAAAUGUGACUCAUGAGGGAACUGAAAAUAUCCCAUGUUUUGAGACAUCCCACUUCCUGUUAGGAACCCUUUCUCCUAUCCCCAUCCUGUCUAUCGGCUCAGCCAGCUAGAGGUGUCAGCCCAAGCUGGUCAGCCCUUAGCAGCACCAACUGCCAGACAAAUAAAUGAAGCCAGCCUAGACCAUCAGUCACAAACCAACCUUCGUCUGACAGGAGCCACGUAAUUAAGCCCAGGCAGAAUUAUUAACCCCAAGGAUUGUGACAGUGGACAUUAGGUAACUGAUACACUGAACCUUGACUGAAUUCCUGAGUAGAGGAUAGGAAAGGUAGCAGAACACGACAGUCACUAGUAUGGCAAUAUGUAAAUCAAUGGAUGUGUAAUUGAUGUGAUUCUGCAAUCUGUAUAUGGGCUAAAAAUGGGAGUUAAUAACCCACUUGAAGCAAAGUGUGAAAGAUGAUAUAUCAAGAACUAUGUAAUGUUUUGAACAACCAACAAUAAAAAAAAAAAAAAGAGAGAGAUUAGGAAUUACCACCACUGGUUCUAGGAUCUGAGAGCUUCUGGUUUUGUCUUUUCAUAGCCAUCGUGCUGACAGAGGAGUUCCACUUUUGUGGGAAAUGAUGCAGGGCUUUUGAUCCCAGUUGCUGCCUGAAAGGAACAUGCCACAAAUAAAGUUUUAUUGAAACACAGUCAUGCCUAUUUGUUUACAGAUUGUCUAUGGCUGCUUUUAGUCCACAAUAAGUAGGUAUGGCCAAGACUGUAUGACCCACAAAACCUAAAAUACUUACAGUUAGGGGAAAUAGGGCAGUGAUAAAUGAGUAAUAGUGAACAUACUCUGAGAAUUCAGGAAAAGUUGAAUAGUUCCAGCCAAACUGAUCAUGAAUGUAUAGAAAAGACAAAAUUUGAACAUGGACUUUGCAGAUAAAAUCCCAAGGGCGAUGAAAACACAUCAGGUAGAAGAAAAAUAAGGGAAAUGAAACAAUUAUUUGAAUUGUCUAAUGACAGCUGAAUGGGAGCAGGAUCUGUGAACCCAGAGCUAAGUUCAGUUCUAUAUGUUGGCAACACACAGUUAGAAAACAAUAAAAAAUUUACAGAUGUAACAAAUGUAAGCAAUCUAGGUAUAAUUAUAAGAAAAACAUAGAAGACAUACAUGGAGAAAUUUCUUUCAAUUUUAUUGAGACACAGUAAAGAAAACCUAAGUAAAUGGAGAGGCAAUACCCUAUGCUUGGGCAAGAGCCUGUCACUAGCUAGUUUAAUUACUGAAAAGUAGGGUGUAGGGGGGCGGUUGAUGAAACCUCUCGAGAUUGAAAAGUUCAGGAGUAAUCUGAGUUCACAGCAAUGGGCUGUGGGUUCAGCCAGGUCAUUCACCUUGAUUUAUCUGUGUGUUCACAGAUCCUGCUUUCACUUGGCUGUCAUUAGGACAGUUCAAAUGAUUGCUUCAUUUCUCUUAUUUAUUUUUCUUCCAAAAACAGAAAUAACUUGGCUUUAUCCGAUUUGUAAAAGUCAUAUAUGCUAAUUGUAUAUUAAAGAACUUGCAGAGGGCUAGGGAUGUAUCUCAGUGUAGUGCCUGUAUAACCUGUGUGAGGCCUUGGGUUCUAUCCCCAGAAUUGCAAAAGGAUUCAUGCUUCUGACAUGACCUUGUUGCUUCCUUGAAUGUGAACACCCACACAUUGACAGUAAGUUAGGGCUGUGAAAGAUGUGGGCUUAAUGGUGUGAAUCCUGUCUCAUCAUUGUCUUUGUCUUAGUCUGUUUUGUGUUGUUAUAACAUAAUACAUGAGAUGGGAUACUUCUACAAAGAAAAGAGGUUUAUUCAGCUCACAGUUUUAGAGGCUGAAAGUCUGGUUGGACAGCCCCACCUGCUUAGGCUUUGGUGAAGGCUUUCUGGCUGUGUCUCAAGGAGUGAUGAUGUCACAUGGUGGGAGCACUCCUGAACAAGAGGGAGGUGUGUAUCACAUGAUGAGACAGGAAGCAAAAGCAAACAACAACAACAAAAACAACUCCCCCAAACAAACAAAAUCUCAACAAAACAAAAAAAGGGGAGAGGUCAGGCUUUUUCUUUUAUAACAACCUGCUCUCAUGAGAACUAAGUCACUCCUGUGAGACCUAGCUCAUUUCCCUAGACCAGCAUUAAUCCCUUCACAAGGUGCUCAGUCACCUUCCAAUAGGCCCCACCUUCCAAUAGGCCCCACCUCUUAAAGGUCCCAUAGCCUCAAUACUGCCACACCGGGGAUCAAGCCUCCAGCACAGGAAUCUUUAGGGAACUAACUGCAUCCAAACUCUUCUCCCUGUGAUAUGUCUGACAAUGACAAACAAGAAACCAAAGUACCACUUUUAUGGACUUGGCUUAUGGACUUGGACAGUGCUUGAUGAAUUGGUGCAAACUUUGGUAAAUGAUUGCCUUGAGGCUUAAGCAGAUCUGUUCUCCCAUUUUUCCUAGCCCUCCAAAUCCCUAUGUUACCGCUGUCCUGGAAGGAGGGACUUCUAGGUGCCCACGAGAAAAAGGGGAGAAGGCAGGAGGGCAGGAGGGCAGGACUGCUGCCACAGUUAGACCCACAGCCCUCCUCUGGGGCAGAUGGAGGCAGUUGACUUUCUAUAGCAUACUUCAGUUUAGAUGCUUCACCAAGAACAUUUCAGAUUCUGAAGGUUGAGUGUACUGGGCAGGUAACAGGUGUGAAUAAUUUGAUGGGAUAAAACCCCGAGCAAACUGUAGAUAGUCUUUGGUGGAAGGCAUUGAAGAUUUUAAAAAGUUAUGGUGCUGUCAAACAAAGCAGGUCAGGGGCUAAUUGUUUUUAGAAACUUUGAUACUCUGCCAUUUUCCCCAAACUUCAAAAUUUUUAAUGUGAUAUUUAGUGUUCAUAUGCUGCCCCACCACAGUGAAUGUACCUCGCUGGUAUGAUAGAGAUCAGAACAGGAGCUGGAAAAUAGCAGCACCAACAUCAUCAAAGUAGAUAACAUGACACAGUUGUCCCCUACAGAAGAGAUACUUGGCCUUGUCCUUUUCUCAUUCUGCUACUUGCCUCUGAUAUUCUAGGGUUUUUGAGACUGGGGACCAAGCAAACUCAUUUCCUCAAGGUUAAUCUUACCUAGUGCUCUACAUCUCUCUCUUUUUCCCUAAAGGAAAUCUUUAGCUUCCUUGGAUUCUCACACCUUAUGGAAUAGGUGUGGGGCAAAAUACUUGCCAAAAAUUCCCUUGGGAAUUCAUUAUAGACUGACCCUGAGAUUUCUAAAAGAAAUGUAAACCAUGAUUUUUAUUCUCCCAGGAGCUUGUGUUAUCUGUGUAACCAUUACUGUAAAUGGGAAGCAGUCAAUAAAUUAUGAAAAGAAAUGAGGGGUGCAGGGCCUGCAGGGUCAGUGUGGUGGCUGCUGGGCUACUGGUUUUCAAGAUUACUCUGGGAGCAGAGGAGAGGAGAAUGGGAACAGGCAUGAGCAAAGUGCCACACGUCUGUAUGUACUGAGCAUUGGUCAUUUUUCUUGAGUGAGCAUUCACUGGAUUAUUGCAAGCCUUCAGUUAAUUUUUCUAGAGUUCUAAAAGUUGAACUUGAAAGUUUUUGUCCCCAUGUUCUCAUUGCUUUUAUGGAGGGGUGGGGUUUUAAAGGUCCUUGUUUUGCCAUUCCAGAGAUGCUUCUCAGCUCUGGAUUAUUUUUUAAACAAAUCCCAGAAACAUCUCUAUACAGUUUUCUGAUGCCACACAACGGAAUUAGGUAGGCCCACUACCCCCAUCUCCCUUGGAGGACCAUGGAGAAAGACACAACCUCCAAUGCCAAACUCACCAAUCAGAUAGAUUCUUCCUCCUGUUCAGGAGAGGAAUGAAGGGGUGGAGUAAGAGGCAGGUGUGGUCUUCCAGCAGAUGUUUAUCUGGGAGAAUAAUAAGAUAAACGGUGUUUCCAUCUGAGUUUCAACUUAAUGGUAUCGUUAUGUUGCAGGAAUAAAUAGCAUUAGGUGAAGAAAUAAAAAUCAAAGAAAAACAUUCGGCAUGGCAAGAAGCAACCAUGUUGUGGAAAGAAAUAGUAAGUAAAGGAAGGUAGCAUGGAUAGAGUAGUUAAUUUAGACUGUGGGAAACAAGGCAGGAAAAUUUAUAUGCAGAGGUUAAAGGAUGGUGAGAUUGUGUGCUCGUUCAAAGAAAAAACAGGCCAGUCAAGAAAAAACCAUAGAAGAUGAUCAUGGAAGAAAUGAGAUUCAGAGCUAAAUGAAAGUGUCAACUUUAGAAUAGAAGGAGGCUUUUUUUUUUUUUUUUUAAAUGGGUAUCGGGGAUUGAACUCAGAGGUACUGGACCACUGAGCCACAUCUCUCCAGCCCUAUUUUGUAUUUUAUUUUAGAGACAGCAUCUCAUUGAGUUGCUUAGCACCUCCUCUGUUGCUGAGGCUGGCUUUGAACCCACGAUCCUCCUGUCUCAGCCUCCUGAGCCUCUGGGAUUACAUGUGCCCCCAUACCCAGUCAGAAGGAGCCUCUUUAUUAUCUAAUAUCCUUGUCUUGGUUGUAUUUUAAUGCUGAAUUGGUAAUGAUUUAAGACAGGCAUCUGAGUUUUGGUUCAUGUGCUCAAUUUGAAUUCUUAUUCCUCUGUUUUUUUUUUUUCCUAAUGAACUUUCUUAAUUUUAGGUGAUAGGCCAGAGUUGUUUUACCUCCAUGCCCUAAGAGUUAGUUUUCUGCCAGAGACAUGGAAGAAAAGAGGCCAUAUAACAUUGUAGAUAGAGUAUUAGAGCUAUUGUGAGAUAGGAGGUUUUCUGGAUGUGCUAAAAACCUGGACUGUUACACAGGUUGAGUUUCCCUUAACUGAAAUUCUUGGGAUUCAGAAUUUUUGGAUUUUGGAAUAUUUAUAUGUAAUGAGAUAUUUGGGGAUGGGACUCAAAAGUCCAAAAUAUGAAAUCCAUUUAUGUUUCAUUUACAUCUCAUACACAUAGCCUGAAGUUGUUUUAUAUAGUAUUCUAAAUGAUUUUUGUGCAUGAAACAAGGUUUCAUGGUGUGAAAUUUUACGUGUGUCGCAUUAUGGCUGUUCCCAAAGUUUUUUUGUUGUUUUUGCAAUGCUAAGUAUUUUGCAUGGUAGGAUUCGGCUGACCUCUAGUGGUAGAAUUGGUACAUUGCAGCCAUUUACUAGCAUAAACAGCCUUUGUUUCAAGGUAUGUUCCCAGUCCUCGUUUAGCAAACAAAAAUUACAGAUUCCCUCCAAAACCAAAAAAAAAACAUAAAAUGCUGGCAACAGUGUGCAUACUCUUUUGGAGUAAUUAGAACAAUCAUUAUUGAGAAUAGUUUGGAAAUGGAACUAUCAUGUAAUCCAGCUAUCCCACUUUUGAGUAUACAUUAAUAGGAAACAAAAUCAGCAUACUAAAGAGAUAACCUGCAUAUCCACGUUUAUUGUGGCAUUAUUCAAAAGAUCUAGGAUAUGGAAUCAACCUAGGUGGACAUCAACAGAUGAACGGAUAAGAAAAUGUAGUAUUUAUACAUGAUGGAUUAUUAUUCAGCCAUAAAUAAGAGUGAAAUUAUGUUAUUACAGCAAAAUGGAUGGAACUGGAGGAUAUUUUGUUAAAUGAAUAAACCAGAUAUGGAAAGACAAAUAUUUCAUGUUUUAUCUCAUUUAUGGACAAACGCUGAUUGGUAUGUAAAAUAGAGGUCACUAGAGAUUGGGAAAGGGAGAGAAAGGUGGAAAAAGGUGAUUGGAUGUGAUCAGUGUGCACUGAAUGCAUGUAUGGAAGUAUCACGCUGAACCCCAUUAAUAUGAACAAUUAUUCAUGUUAAUAAAAUAAAUAAAUAAAUCCCAGUUGAUAGUCAUAUCUUUUCCAAGUGAUUAUGCAUAUCUUCUACAAAAGCUCAAGACAAAAGAUCUUCUAAAAUACUCAAUCAAAAAUUGGAAUUAAUCUACCCGUGACAAAAUAUUGUCAAUGACUGGAUUUGAUGAAUGGUAGAUAUAUUUUCUGCACUCAGAAUGUGAGGGCUCUGUCUGGACAUGUGUGAAAGCCUCUAUGAAGCGUGCAUUUGAUUUUUCCCUUGGGACACUAUUCAGCAGGGUCCUGAAGUUUGCAGCCAUUUCAUGGGUUGAUUUGUAACCGUGUCUCUUGGCUCACGUUCAAAUUUGUCUCUGUUCUACCCAUGUCCUGCACAGUGGAGGGACGGACUUGAGGCCAAAUCAUUUCUGUAGAAUCUUUAUCCUGAGCAUGAUCUGCAGGAGGCCAGUGUUUGUGGCUACUUCUUCCUACUGCUUUAUUUCUCCACAUGACUCCUCCUGACUCCAUGGGGAUGAUCCUGGGAGGAACUACGAAUUAAGAGACUCUGGUACCCAUUUACUUAUCUAAUCUAACUCAGAGAUUUUGGAAGCCUAAACUUUGCUUUGGUUUAAUGAAAAGAUUUGAAGACACAGGACUGGUGUCCCAAAACUUGGAGCAAGCAUUUUUGAGCACUUUAGACCCUCAGACCUAAUUUCCUAAAGGAUGAAGUGGUUACCAGGCUUAGACAUUUAAAGAUGCUUAGACAUUUAAAGAUGGGUCUGGAGGUAUAGCUCAGUGGUAAAGCGCUUGCAUGAAUCCCUGGGUUACACCCCCAGUUAUGCAUAAAUAAAUAAAACAAAUAAAAAUAAAAAUAAAGAUGGUAUAUGAGUUCAAUAGAAAGAUGGUUUUGUGUUAUGGGGGUGGCAGCUCAAAGAACUUUGUGUUUUAUAUACUUAAAAAAUGACAGCAAAUGUGGCAGGAUUAAUGAUGGUUAGUUCUGAAUGGUAUAAAUAUGGGGAUGUUUCUUUCAAUCUUUUUAGUUCUUAAAAUUAUAAAAAGAAAAUAGUUCUAGCAGAGCAAUGGGUACUGUAUUAUAUCUUUCACUACUCUGCAACACAACUCUUAAGCCAAGUGCAUUUUUGUUUGGUAGCCACAAGCAGCUCUUCAGAGAUGUGAGUGUUUUAAUUCUGGUUGUGUUUAUGGGCAAUGUGGUUGACUUUCACCAGUGUUGUGGAUUCCUAGACUUAGCCAUUGCUGUAGGUCUGAUUUAUGUAAAUGGUGUGCAUAGUUCAAAGCUGAGUAAUUCAACUAGAAGGCCCAUCUAAUCUCCUAAUAAAGUAGGUUCUAGGCCCUUUUUAAAAAAAAAAAAUUAAAUAUUUAUUUUUUAGUUUUCAGUGGACACAGCAUCUUUGUUUGUAUGUGGUGCUGAGGAUUGAACCCGGGCCGCACGCAUGCCAGGCAAGCGCGCUACCGCUUGAGCCACAUCCCCAGCCCGGUUCUAGGCCCUUUUGAGUCAUAAAGGAUAGAGGUACUCUGGUUUUCUCUCUCCAUGAGCACUGAUUGUGAGGCUCCAUGAGGGAGAGAGGAAGACAGGAAGAUGUCUCUGCAGCUACAUCUGUAUGGCAGAAGAGGGACAUUGUUCAGGGGAUAAGUUGUGAUAGUCAGAUGAUGGCUCUGGUAAUGUGCUGUGGUUCUAAGGGUAGUUGUUUCAUGAGCAGGUCAUUUUCUAAAUUCCUGACUUAUAAGGUCCACCUUUGUGGUGACUUCAGUACUGACUCACUGGGUUUAUAUUUCCAGUGAGCACAGGGUGGGUCUCCCUACAUUGCCACAUGCCCAGUUAGUUGCCAAAUGUCUGGUCAGACUAUAGAAUCUGACUUUGGGAUAGCUGUCAUCUUGGGCCUAGUCUGUGGAAGCUCAUCAGGGACCCAACAUGGCAAGCCUGUUAAUAAUGAAUUCCUGAAAGGAGACCGUGGGUUUGCCAGGUAUAGAGGCACACCUCAAAGAGAAAAUAGGAGCCCCAUAGCCUAAGUACAAGAUCAACAGUCUGGACCAGAGGGUUAACAGCAUUCUUAAGGGAGGAAAUACAUGUGGACUCCUCUCUCUGUGUUCUCCUUAUUACAUUCCUUAGUACAUUGGGUACCUUAAAUUUUCAGAUCUUAAUCCAAUAGGUUAUGCUGAUUAGCUCUAUAAGUAAAUUUCAUUGACAGAGUUUCCUUUCCUUUUCUUUCAGCAUAGUAGUUUAUUGUAUGUUUCUUUUUGAAGUUGAUUUUUAAAAAAUAAUAUAUAGAAAUGAAAAUCUUAAAACUGCAUAAAUAUGUUAUAUCAAGUUACCUAUCAAUCCACCAAAUCAAAAGCAACUGCCGAGCUGACUAAUAAAUUACAAAGAAAUAAUAAUUCUGGCUUAUUCAGGAAUGUGUAGUGUUUUCAAAGCUCUCAACAGUUAUCCACUAAUACAAAUCUCUAAAGCUGAACUUAGAGUUGGAAGAUGAGUUUAACAGUAACAUAAUUUUAACCUAUUUACAUUCAUUUUAAUAUAUGACUUAGAUGUUUAUUCUGUGUCACAAUGGUGCUUUCAAGUGUUCGCAAUUUACAGUUUCAAUUUGUACGUAUAUAAUUCACUAACAUGAGGGACAGUUCUUCCUGUUACAAACUAUUCCUAAGAAUAAAAAUAAAACUCUAUCCUACAUAGAACUCUGAAUAUGGUAUGACUUAAAACAGAUUAAUGCAACAUGGUUUUUAAUAUUUAGCCAUUUUCUAAAUAUCAGCAUGUAAAUUUGCCUAUUUAAUAUAUGACAUCUACAACUUUAUUCACUGAGAAAUUCUGCAUUAAUUUUAUUCAGCCAUCUUUAUCACCUUAUCCUAAAAAUUUCUUGACUUGCUGUUUCUGUUUCAGUGAAUUCCAAACUGUGUGUAUAGUAUUUUUUUUUUUUGAGAAGAGGAAGGAAGCAAGGUGAUAAAUACACUGUAAACAGAAAACAGUUCCCCCCCAAAUUAAACCUUUAUAAAACUUUUCUCUUUAUUUCUAUACUAUUUAACACUUUCUAAAAGUCAGUUACAGUGUUUCAUCUUUACCAAUAAACAAAUAUAUUACUGGAGGGUCAGUCUGCCCCACCUUUCUGGGACCUAAAAUUCUGAGUAUGUGAACAGAAGAAUAAAAUACUUCAACAUUAAAUUACCAAAUUUAUAACUGUUAUAUGAUUUGACUGGACUAGUUAAAACAUAUAGAAACAUACAAUUCAGUAGGUGUUUGGUGAUUUUGCUUUUAGGGGUAGGUUGUCAAAAAACAAAGAGUAACAAAUGAAGUAGCAAAAAAGUUUUGUUUCCCAUCUUAAAGCUGGAGGGCAAUGGAUCACAGGGCAGUGUAAUCCUCUGAAAUCCAUUUGACCUAUCACUUCAGGUCCAAGAUGAAAUUUGGAAUUUUUUUGAAUAGACCCUAUUCUUUCCUGGAGUAUCAAACUGAUUGGUAGUUAUAUCUCCAAGUACAAUCAGACCUUAACAGUCUGUUGAAUGAAAUAUUAGUAAAAUUGAAAAGAUGAGACUAAAUUUCAAACUAGAAUAAAAAUCUACUCAGUUUUCAAAUCACUUACUAACACGAAAACAGAUUUGGCUUAAAUCACUCCUGUACACACUGACACCGACAGAUGCCCCAGUCACUGAUUUGCUCUGCAACAAAAGGCCAUAUAAUCAGAGAUGACAUUCUCCAAGCCCAACUUUAAAUAGAUUUUAAAAAGUCAUUUCUAAUUUUUACAGAAAUUGUUUCUUCAAAAACUAUUUUCUCUCCCUCAUCUCCUAAACUAAAGGAUGUAUACUGUGUUGGUUUGUUGUAAUUUCUCAAGCUAAAUAUGAACCCUCAAAAUCGAUUCCAGGCAGAAAAUCUUUGUAAAUUAAAAUCAAAAGCAAAAAUAGAAAAAUUAUAUUUUAUAUAUUAUAUAUGUGUGCAUACUACACAUACACACAUAUGUAUUUAUAUUGAUUGGAAUCCUCUAGCAUUUUAAAAUCACUUUAGAGAUGAAUUUUGGGAUUCUAUUCUCCACAACUCCAAAAUCCAUAAUUUAAGGACAUAAUUUAUUUCCUUCCUGGCUACCCAUUCCCCUCCAGAACAGUUCAAUAUAGCCAAUGGCUCAAGUUUAAUGGGAAGAGAGAAAGUAUUUGAAUAGUUUUGUUUUUUUGAUUUCUUUGGUGAUUUGGGUGGUAUAUAUUGCUCUUUGCCAUUAUGUCAAGUCACUCCCUGAGGUAUAGCCCUAUCGCUAAACUGGUGUCUCUAGUCCCUGAUUUUUCCAGCAAAUGUUCCCCUGGGAAUGGUAUUGCCUUGGAAGCCAGAAUAUCCUUACUAGCCCUUGCUUCUGGCGUCUCAUGUGAUUUCUCAGUGGACUUCUCAGGAGCUCCAGUCUCUUCAUUUUUGGUGGGAGAUACAACUUUGGAGCAAAGUUCCUGUAAUGGCCAAACAAGAACUGAAACUGGCUCUCAAGGAGGUUCUGGCACACUUCAGCAUAACUUUUCAAGGUUCCUGUAGGGUUAUAGCUCCAGAUGCAUUUAUGUUACUAUUAUUUGGUGAAGCAGUAUUUGCCUGUGAUGUCUUUGCAGAAAUUGGGAUAGUUAUCUGAUUGAGAACAAUCUUCUGAACACAAAAUCUUCUAUUAGAUCCUUUUCUUGCUGAGUUGUGCUUAAUGAAGGAAGCUCAGCUGUACGUGGAGGACUGGAACUCAUAUUGAGUUGCUGGACAGAAGUGCAAUCUGUUUGCUCGUCCUCUGCAGGCACUGGGGAAUGAACUCUCAAGUCUUCAUUAUCCUUUUCUUUAAUGACAUCAAACAUUCUAUUCUCCAAAACGAAUUCACCUGGCAUUCUUUUCUUUCUUUCUUUCCUUUUUUUUUUUUUUUUGUAUCAGGAAUUGAACUCAGGCACUCGGCCACUUAGCCAUAUCCCCAGCCCUAUUUUGUAUUGUAUUUAGAGACAGGCUCUCACUAAGUUGCUUAGUGCCUCACUUUUGCUGGGGCUGGCUUUGAACUCUUGAUUCUCCUGCCUCAGUCUCCUGAGCUACUGAGAUUCAGUCAUGUGCCACCAUGCCUGGCUUAAAUAAGUUUUAUGUUUAAGGCUCAUUUUCUUUAUUUUUAAAUUAAAUUAAUUUUUUUUUUUAACUGGGGAUUGAACUUUGGGGCACUUGACCGCUGAGCUACCACCUGGCUUUCUUGAUGAACUUCCAGGUAAUGGAGGAAAAUUUGAAGCUAGUAAGUCAAACUUUGGUUUUUUUUUUUUUUUUUUUUUUUGAGCCUUUGUUUCAACUGUUGAAGGAUGGGGUCUUGGGAUUCUGUCAUCUUGUGGUCUUUGACCUCUGGAAACAGUUCUUCUGCUCCUACCAUAGUCCCCAUUCUGUUGCAUCUGUAAACCAGGAGUCUCCUUGGGAAGGUGAGUUUGCUCCUGAUGCCCUGGUACUGUAGGGUUAUGCCAUCCGGGUGGAAAGUUCCUUGAACUAGAUCUAUUCAAUGGUCCAUCCUCAAAUGACACAGAGCCCUCUGUUGAAUCUUCUGAACCACUGGAUGACCUAAAAUGAGGCUUCACAUGAUUCUUUUUUGGAAUGGUUGACCAAUAUUCACAGCAGCAGCAUUUGUGUUACAAGAGCCUGGUGAAUUAAAGCCAUUCACAAAACUACCACUGGGAAAGGAAGCUAGUGGUGUUUCAAAGUAAGGUGCAAGACUUGGAGACCAAGACUGAGGCACAAUACUAUAGACUGAGUACUGUUGGUGAGGAUUAUAUACAGGCAAAGACUGGUGAGGCAUACUGUGUUGAAGUUUGAAUACAUACUAGAAUCAAUAACCAUUCUUAGCAAAAAAGGUAUUGAUGGCCUUUAUUCUUUGUCAUGAUUGGCUUGCCCUGAAAUGUUAUAACUUAAGUAUUUGAAAGUCUGUUGUGCAUCUGUGUCUGGCUGAAAAGUGAUAUACCAGUUGCUAUUAUGUGCAAGCUCACAGCUUAUCAUUUUGGGGAAUUUUUCACUUUUAAGCAAAGCUUUCACUUCCUCUACUGGUGUUAUUUCAGGAAUCUCUCUAAGAAUCACAAUACAACACUAAUGACUUGGUCUCACCUUCUCACCCUUCUCAUCAACUUGUACCAUAGGAGAAGAUCUCAACACUUUAAGAUCAGGAUUUGUGGUCAACUUUAAAAAAAAUCUCUUUUCUGUUGGCAAUUGUCCAGUUGGGACGAACUGAUCACUAUCCAUCUGAGCUAUCAAACAAUGAUUCUUUGACAAGUUUUCUUGUGAAAAACAGAAUUCUAAUGUUUUCUUUAGACAUUCUUUUAGGUCUUCUGUAGAAAUUGCUGAACUACCUUCUCCAGAAACAUGUAUUUGGCAACUCAGUUCUUCAGGUCCUAAUAUCAUUUCAUCAGUUGAUUCAAUGCCUGUAGUGUUUCUUGUGGUUUCACAAGAUGGAGAAUAUAUUACUUCAUGUUCCUUACACAUACCUUUUCAAAGCUCAGCAUUUCCUUCAGGAUGAGACCCUGAUGUGCUGCUGUUUCAUGCCAAGGGCUUUCAGUUCCUUGAGUAGCAUCAGGAGUUCUAGGAGGAAUUUCUUGCCAUACUCUUUGGCAUUAGAUUUAAACCAGUUCCUUUAGGUGUUACCUGCUUCUCCCUCUACCAUCCCACAUGUUCUCUCCUCCCUCCUCGAUCGUGCCUCCCUCAUGACCCUUUUCUCCAUCCGACUCCACCCUGCCCGCCCCCCACCUGUUUGCCUCCUUUAGGAGGUCCAUAUGGGACCAGGGUUUCCUUUCCUUUCUUUUUUUUUCCUACUUUUUUUUUUUCAAAUGAGAGAGACAGUGUGACUCAGUAGAAAGCAUAAGGAAGAAGUUGUUCUUAUUAAUUAUGACUUAAAAGACAAAGGCAGAAGUCUGGUAUCUGCCGCAUCAUGCUUCUAACAGCUCUGGCCCUUGGGAAACUCUGUACCAUCCUGGAGAUUUGAUUUGGGUACCAAAAUGAAUGGGCAGGACUAAAAAAAUACAAAAAGAAACAUUUUUUUUGUUUUCAUACAUUUAUAGAUAUCUUUAGUUAUUUUAAAGGCAAAAUUGAUUCAAAGGUGGACUCAUGCAUUAUUCAUAUUCUUUUUUUCAAGUGGCAAAAUGGGACUUCAAAAGAGUAGGCCUUAGCAUUGAUAUCCCUAAAAAUCAGUAAUGUUUUCCUUCUCUAUAUACAUGAAAAAGAACUAUGACGUAAAUAGUUAAUCAUGUGAUAAAUUGAUCUGUGUAGUAUGUAUCAUAGUCACAUUGAAUAACUUAUCAUCAUUAUUAAAAUGAAGUUGAAUAUUUUCCUUUUCUUGUGAGUGUAAAAUAUGCACAGCAUCUAGGAAUACAGGAUUUUAAAGUGGUGGUUGAGAGUUCUGUUUCUGUCAACAUGGCAAAUGUCAAUAUGGUAAGUCUCUUGAAAAUUUUUUUCACUUCAAGAUGCUUAAGAAUAUUGGGUAACUGUGUGUCUUUGAGGCUUUUAAAAGUCAUGCAUAGCUAAUGGUAGCUAAUAAUAUUUUUUCCACAUAUUUGCUGACCAUUUGUAUUUAUUAUUUUGAGAACUGUCUAUUCAGGUCAUUUCCCCAACUUAUAAAGAGGAAAGGUUUAUGGCUUGCUUUCAGAGGUUUCAGUCUGAUUGAUCCCCUUGCGUUGGGCCUGAGGCAGCACAGUACAUCAUGGUGGGAGCACAUGGUGGAGGAAGCUCAUUCACCUCAGGGCAGGUGGGUAGCAAAAGAGAGGGGUAGGGGUUAGGUUCCCAUUAUCCUCUUUGAGGGAAUGUCCCCAGUGACCAAAGACCUCUACCUUAAAUGUUGAACAUAAGCAACCUGUGAGAGCAGGGUCCUUCGACAAGGUCAUUCUUAACUAUGAUGGGAUGAGACAAAAAGACUGCUUCAUAAAUUUGUCUAAGAACAGCUGAAAACAAGAUCACUGUGCAACCCACAAAUACUGAGCAUCUCUUUCUUGUCUAAAAUGAGUGCCCACUUCUCUUGAAAUCAUUAUAGCUUUGUCUUCAGUGUAGUUUCCUUUCCAUCUGGGUAAGAUCUAUUGAGAUACCCAAUCUUCUAGUUGCCCUCACUUUUUAAUAGCAUCUCAACUAGUGAGUUCUACUUCUGAGACUUCCUCCAAAUCACCCAAGCAAAGUCUGAAUCCUUUGAUAAGUUCUCUCUAUUACCUUCUUUCUAGAUCCCGUGGCUCCCCUGGUGUUCCAGUAUAGGUGUGCUCCUGUUGGCUUUUUAAAAAAAUUUUUUUUGGUUGUUAAUGGAUCUUUAUUCUUUUAUAUGUGGUGCUGAGAAUCAAACCCAGUGCCCCACACAUGCCAGGCAAGCGCUCUACCAAUGAGCCACAACCCCAGCCCUCCUGUUGGCUUUAACUGUAGGAUAUCAACAGCUUAAAGAUUAAAAUUGUCACAAAAAGACAAGUACCACAUAAAAAAAAUCUCACUCAAAUGUGGAAUUUACAGGGUCAAUUUCAGAAGUUGUCACUAGAGUAUUGGUUUUGGGAGGCUGGGGAGAGCAGGAGGGAAGGAGGGUUGGGAAAAACUGGUCCAAAGGUACUAAGUUAUAGUUAGUGAGGAGUUAGAAGUCCUGGAUGUGCUAUUAAACAGCAUGGGUAUGCCCAUUGAAUGGUAACUCUCAUUCUCUCUAGCCCCCGGCAACCAUCAUUCCACUUUAUGUCUCCAUGAAUUUGGUUGCUCUUGGUACCUUAUAUAAAUGUAAUCACCCCAUUUUUGUCCUUUUGUGUCUAAUUUAUUUCAUCUCAUUUGUGUAAUAUCUCCCAGGUUCAUCCACAUUGUAGCAAGUGUCAGAACUCCCUUCUUCUUUAAGUCUGAAAAAUACUCCAUUGUGUGUAUCACUACAUCUUGUUUUUGUAUUCAUUUAUCCAUGGGCCCUUAAGUUGCUUUCAACUCUUGGCUAUUGUGAAUAGUGCUUCUGUGAACAUGGGUGUAUAAAAAUCUGCUUUCAAUUCUUUUGGGUAUAUACCUGGAAAUGGAAUUGCUGAAUCAUGUGGUGAUUCUAUUUUUAAUUUUUUGAGACUCUCUGGACUGUUCUCUAUAGCAGCUACUCCAUUUACAAUCUCACCAACAGUGUACUAGGGUCCCAGUUUCUCCACAUCCUCACCAGCCCUUGUUAUUUUCCUUUUUUGACAGCCAUCCUAAUGGGUGAGGUGUUAUCUCAUUGUGACUCUGAUUUACAUUCCUGAUGACUAGUGAUGUUGAGCUUUAUUUUUAUAUUGGGUUUUGAUUACAGUGACCACUCUCUACUUCUUUCCAGAAAGGAGUUGAAGAUGCUGGAGCAGUCUGAUUCUCUGAAAGGUUCUCUAAGCGCAGAACAGCAGCUGUCACUCAUCAGUGGUUGCUCCAACAUUGCAGAAGCAGUAGAGGGCGCCAUGCACAUUCAGGUGAGUUAAGGACACUGGCAACCCAGGUCUGCAGUCCCAGGAGAACUUAAAACCUCUCCAGAAUGGAGGAACUUUGGGGAGGGAGUAGAAGGAAGGAGCAGGGGGCAGGAAAGAUGGUGGAACGAGAUAGACAUCAUUACCCUAGGUUACAUGUAUGACGACAUGAAUGGUGUGACUCUA
rnacentral:lncRNA from 1 species